rnacentral:RNase_P_RNA from 1 species
CGAGUUAAUCAGACUAUCGCGGGUACGUAAGUACAUGAGGAAAGUCCGGGCUCCAUAGGACAGGGUGCCGGGUAACUCCCGGUGGAGGCGACUCUAAGGAAAGUGCAACAGAAAUAAACAGCCGAAAGGUUAAGGUGAAAAGGUAGGGUAAGAGCCUACCGGUUGUAUGGUAACAUACGACGUCUAUGUAAACCCCAUCUGGAGCAACACCGUUUGAAGGUUAAGGUUGUCCGCCGUCUUCUAUAAGGUGGCUUGAGUCAUAUAGAGAUAUAUGGCCUAGAUAAAUGAUAGUCAAAUACAGAACCCGGCUUAUAGAUUAUCUCAAUAA